GACGAACGCUGGCGGCGUGCCUAAUACAUGCAAGUCGAACGCAGUGGGGACGGGUGAGUAACACGUGGGUAACCUCCCAUCAGAGGGGAUAACACUUGGAAACAGGUGCUAAACCGAUACUGAUGGAUGGACCCGCGGUGCAUUAGCUAGUUGGUGAGGUAACGGCGCACCAAGGCCACGAUGCCUCGCCGACAUGAAAGGGUGUACGGCGACACUGAGACUGAGACACGGCCCAGACUCCUACGGUGGGCAGCAGUAGAGAAUCUUAGGCAAUGGACGAAAGUCUGACCGAGCAACACGGCGUGAGUGAAGAAGGUGUUAGGAUCGUAAAACUCUGUUGUUAUAGAAGCGGUAUCUAACCAGAAAGCCACGGCUAACUACGUGCCAGCCGCCGCGGUAAUAC
rnacentral:rRNA from 1 species